AGGUUUAUUGCCUGGCUAUAGACAGCCCGAGAAAGAAAGUUAGCUUCCCACCCCCGGCAGCUGCAGUGAUUGGAAAACGAGCCUGAGCCUUUUCACCGAAAAGAAUAUAUCAUUAUCCGUUGGGUUCGCCCUACUUCCCUGUUAAGAAUCACCUGAAGUGCCUAAAAAUCCGCGAGUUUCAGGGCUUUUCCCUGGAAAUAAUGAUUUAGAACGUCCUGGGGGAGGGCCUAGGAGUCUGUGGGUUUAAUAAGCACCUCCAGGAUUUGUGUCUUCGGGUAAGGUGGCGUAAUACUAAAGAGCUGGUAUUCAAAAGUUUCUUUCCAAGAAAUUGCUUCUGUUACCCUGUUACGUUUAUCCAAAUAUUCUCUGUUAGUUGCUCUUUUAGAGUUGAAUUUCUCCAGCAGCUCCCACAAAUAAGCAGUUUUUCCUGGAAGGGGAAAUGUAACAGUUUAAGAGGGGGCUGGCUAGUCUUGAUUUUCGCAGUACACCGUCACCCCACCACCUCCUCAGCCAGUGAGCCACAGAUGUGUGUGGGGUGUCCAUUAUCAGCCUGUUCAGCUGGAUCGGUUUGUGACCCUAAAGUGAAUCUCCAGACUGAGUAGGAUGAUAGUGUAGGCAGAAGCCUUUUAAAGGAGGGAACUGGGGUGUGGAACGAGCAAGUUUCAGAGCCUCACUGGGCAGGCCUGGGCAGCCAGAAGACUGUGGGAAUACACAGAAGGUGGCUUUUUGUGCACCAUGGGCUGUGGCAGGAGAACUUGUUAUUCCCACCCUAGUAUCAGAAAUGCUCCAAGAGAGAGCAAAGGUUAAAUACCGUGGUGUGUUCCUCCAGGUUCACCGUGGGAAAAACCCUUUGCUCAGGGGCUGUCUGGCAGAAGGUGCUGGCAUCCACACCCUUGUCAGAACCCUCCAUAGACUGAGCAGCUAGAUCACCUAAGCUGAUGGAGCUUUCCUGCAAUACCAGACACUGGCAUCCAUGAAGCGAAGUCUUAGGGUGGGCAUUUUGUGGAAAAGAGAGAGGAAAGAAGGAUUUCUUGGGGUUAACAGAAAGUGGAUGUAGAUAAAGGGAAUUCUCCAGUCUUGCACCGCUAACAUGGUGCAAUAUUCACAAACAGACAUGAUUCGUGCUUGUGGACAAAACUGACCUCGGAGCUGAGUCAAGCAUUGAAAAAUCCUGGAACUUUCAAUAUUUAUGUAGCCAAAGUGUCUCUCUUGCUCACUCACUUGCUUGCUUGUGUACCACUAAUUGAGCAACUACUAUGGGCCAGAUGCUCUGGAAAAUGUUGUUCUGAAGAGGAGUACUAAUCUUCACCAGUGGUGCACCUAGCUGUAUUUUGCACAUUAGGAAACAGACCCAGAGGCACACCUCCCAGAUGCAUCUUCCUCAUGGGGUUGUCGCAGGGUUUAAGAAAAUGAACUCAUAUAAAGGGCUCAGAAUAGUGUCUGGAUCACAGAACUCUGAAGAAUUUAUGUCAGUGAUUCUGAAGUGAGAAUGGAACAUGGAUCCAACCCCUCUAAGGCAGAAGAGAUGUGAGCAGAUUACCUUCUCUGUCCUUAAAAGGAGUGGCCCUGCAUUCCCUGAGAGGGCAUAGCUGGGGCAGUCAUCUGGACCCACCAGACAGGAGCUGAAGCUUGAUAAAAGGUGCCUGGUUCCAGUGACUAUGGAGCAGCCUGCCAGCACUAGAGGAGUCACAGAGAUGUCUAGAUGAGUCACAGAGACAUUUACAUGACAGAAAAAUAAACAACUAUGUUGUUUAAGCCAUUAUUAGUCAGUCUUUCA
rnacentral:lncRNA from 1 species